GGGAAUUGUAGCAGGAAGCCAGAGCAGAUGUGUAGCCACUGAACCAAUCAGGAAGUGACCUCCAUGUUUUGAGAAUUGAAGAAAACUUCAGUGAAUGGCAGAGUAAUCCAUUGGCUGAAAAGAGUGCUCUUCCAGGAUUUGCCAAACAUUCCUUAAGUUAGCUUCUCAUUAAU
rnacentral:lncRNA from 1 species